GCCGCUUUAGCUCAGCAGGUAGAGCGCAUCCAUGGUAAGGAUGAGGUCACCGGUUCAAGCCCGGUAAGUGGCU
rnacentral:tRNA from 1 species